UCGAAAUCGGUAGACGCUACGGACUUAAAAUCCGUUGGCUUUUGAGACCGUGAGGGUUCAAGUCCCUCUACCCCCA
rnacentral:tRNA from 1 species